ACACAUGCAAGUCGAACGCUGAAGCUUGGUGCUUGCACUGGGUGGAUGAGUGGCGAACGGGUGAGUAAUACGUGAGUAACCUGCCCUUGACUCUGGGAUAAGCCUGGGAAACUGGGUCUAAUACUGGAUACGACAUGUCACCGCAUGGUGGUGUGUGGAAAGGGUUUUACUGGUUUUGGAUGGGCUCACGGCCUAUCAGCUUGUUGGUGGGGUAAUGGCUCACCAAGGCGACGACGGGUAGCCGGCCUGAGAGGGUGACCGGCCACACUGGGACUGAGACACGGCCCAGACUCCUACGGGAGGCAGCAGUGGGGAAUAUUGCACAAUGGGCGAAAGCCUGAUGCAGCGACGCCGCGUGAGGGAUGACGGCCUUCGGGUUGUAAACCUCUUUCAGCACGGAAGAAGCGAAAGUGACGGUACGUGCAGAAGAAGCGCCGGCUAACUACGUGC
rnacentral:rRNA from 1 species